rnacentral:lncRNA from 1 species
GUUGGUCACCCAUUGAAGGACAUCACUUCAUUGGCGCGCAUUCACGAGAGAGGAAGCUCUGUUCCAAAAUGUUUUUCAAGACACAGGAAUGGUCCGGUUGAAAUAUCACUGAAUCUUCACAUUAUAAAGGCCCUAAAGAUUGAUGCUAUACAACGUUUGACAUGUUUGAACAAACAUAAAUUGAUUUUUUUAAACUUUUCGUCGUCACAUUUUCCGCGUGCCUCCUACAUUCGGAGUAGCUGAACUGAACGCGCGAACAACAAGGAGUUAUUUGGACAUCAAUGAUGAACUUUAUCGAACAAAACAACAUUUGUUGUGGACCUGGGAUUCCUGGAAGUGCCUGCUGAUAAAGAUUAUUAAAGGAUUGAGACGAUGGGACAAGAAGGCACAGGGAGGAAGCUUCUGGUCCUGGGCAGAUCGCUGGGACCGGAUGGCCCCCACUCCAACAUCAGAAGCAUCAACCUCUACCACCAAUUGAUGGGAUGGAUCCGGAUGGACGAGGAUGGGUGCUGUGGUGAACCAAUGCUUCAGGUCCAUGAAGGCUCUGUCGACCGCUGGAGACCAUGUCAACGGUACUUUGGGAGAGGAGGACCUGAGCCCUCGGACCAUGCCUCAGAAUUACCUGACCUGAUGACUCCUUGCUGUCCCCAGUCCACCUGGCCGUGCUGCUGCUCCAGUUUCAACUGUUCUGCCUGCGGCUAUGGAACCCUGACCUGUUCACCGGACGUGCUACCUGUCCUAGACCUGCUGUUUUCAAGUCUCUAGAGACAGCAGGAGUAGUAGAGAUACUCUCAAUGAUCGGCUAUGAAAAGCCAACUGACAUUUACUCUUGAGGUGCUGACUUGUUGUACCCUCGACAACUACUGUGAUUAUUAUUAUUUGACCAUGCUGGUCAUUUAUGAACAUUUGAACAUCUUGG